rnacentral:rRNA from 1 species
GACGAACGCUGGCGGCGUGCUUAACACAUGCAAGUCGAACGGAGCGAAUGAAAGCUUGCUUUUAUGAGCUUAGUGGCAAACGGGUGAGUAACACGUAGACAACCUGCCGACAGGAUGGGGACAACAUUCCGAAAGGAAUGCUAAUACCGAAUGAAGCGGAGGAGAGGCAUCUCUCCUCCGUGAAAGAUGGCCUCUGAAUAUGCUAUCACCUGUCGAUGGGUCUGCGUCUGAUUAGCUGGUUGGUGAGGUAACGGCUCACCAAGGCGACGAUCAGUAGCCGGUCUGAGAGGAUGAACGGCCACAUUGGGACUGAGACACGGCCCAGACUCCUACGGGAGGCAGCAGUGGGGAAUCUUCCGCAAUGGGCGCAAGCCUGACGGAGCAACGCCGCGUGAGUGAAGAAGGUCUUCGGAU